rnacentral:rRNA from 1 species
UAGGGAAUCUUCGGCAAUGGACGGAAGUCUGACCGAGCAACGCCGCGUGAGUGAAGAAGGUUUUCGGAUCGUAAAGCUCUGUUGUAAGAGAAGAACGAGUGUGAGAGUGGAAAGUUCACACUGUGACGGUAUCUUACCAGAAAGGGACGGCUAACCACGUGCCAGCAGCCGCGGUAAUACGUAGGUCCCGAGCGUUGUCCGGAUUUAUUGGGCGUAAAGCGAGCGCAGGCGGUUAGAUAAGUCUGAAGUUAAAGGCUGUGGCUUAACCAUAGUACGCUUUGGAAACUGUUUAACUUGAGUGCAAGAGGGGAGAGUGGAAUUCCAUGUGUAGCGGUGAAAUGCGUAGAUAUAUGGAGGAACACCGGUGGCGAAAGCGGCUCUCUGGCUUGUAACUGACGCUGAGGCUCGAAAGCGUGGGGAGCAAACAGGAUUAGAUACCCUGGUAGUCCACGCCGUAAACGAUGAGUGCUAGGUGUUAGACCCUUUCCGGGGUUUAGUGCCGUAGCUAACGCAUUAAGCACUCCGCCUGGGGAGUACGACCGCAAGGUUG